UGAGCUCUAUUUUAGUCUUGAGACCUGCAAUGUAAAACAGCAUCACUCUAUGUGACUAAUAUGGAAAGAGGUGUUUCAAAGAGAUGCACAUUAAGGGAAAUAUUGGGUUCAUUGACCAAACCUGACUUAGUUGAGGCACAUCAAUGAAGGACAUGGGGAGCAUGUGUUUUGGCUCAGAGAGUAACAGGUUUCAACAGUCACAGGCACAGAAGAUAUGUUGUCUUUUUUCUAUCUUGCUGUAGACAUGCAAGAAUAUAUAUGUGAUGCAGAUUGUGAAAAAAAUAUCAUUUUGUGAUCUUGAUGAUGAGAAAUGGGUGUCCAAAUAUGUUUUUUUUUUUUUUUUUGGGGUCAAAAAUGGGUGUCCUAUGAUAUUUCAUACAAAAGUAUGAACUAUGAUCUUGCAUAUAUGAUUUGUGUGAAAGAAAAAAAUGAAUUAGAAACACAAGGAAUAGGGGCAAGAAUGUUUCUUUUUCUCAGCAUUUGUCUCAUUCCCUUGAUUUGUGUUUCAUGCUUGUUGAAUUAACCCUUCGUCAUUCCCUUUUCAGUUCAGUUUCUGCACCAGCUGCAAGAUUUUCCAAACCCAAGAUGGAAAUAACUUCUGAAAUUCACACCAAUCUUGAUAAUUCAGAUACUACCAACAUGGUCAACUACUAGGCCAAGAUCAUCAAUUUCAU
rnacentral:lncRNA from 1 species